rnacentral:rRNA from 1 species
GACGUAGGGCGCGAGCGUUGUCCGGAUUUAUUGGGCGUAAAGAGCUCGUAGGCGGCUUGUCGCGUCGACUGUGAAAACCCACAGCUCAACUGUGGGCUUGCAGUCGAUACGGGCAGGCUAGAGUUCGGUAGGGGAGACUGGAAUUCCUGGUGUAACGGUGAAAUGCGCAGAUAUCAGGAGGAACACCGGUGGCGAAGGCGGCGAUCUGGGUCGAUACUGACGCUGAGGUGACGAAAGCGUGGGGAGCAAACAGG